rnacentral:rRNA from 1 species
GAUGAACGCUGGCGGCGUGCCUAAUACAUGCAAGUCGAGCGAACAGACGAGGAGCUUGCUCCUCUGACGUUAGCGGCGGACGGGUGAGUAACACGUGGAUAACCUACCUAUAAGACUGGGAUAACCUCGGGAAACCGGAGCUAAUACCGGAUAAUAUAUUGAACCGCAUGGUUCAAUAGUGAAAGACGGUUUUGCUGUCACUUAUAGAUGGAUCCGCGCCGCAUUAGCUAGUUGGUAAGGUAACGGCUUACCAAGGCAACGAUGCGUAGCCGACCUGAGAGGGUGAUCGGCCACACUGGAACUGAGACACGGUCCAGACUCCUACGGGAGGCAGCGGUAGGGAAUCUUCCGCAAUGGGCGAAAGCCUGACGGAGCGACGCCGCGUGAGUGAUGAAGGUCUUCGGAUCGUAAAACUCUGUUAUUAGGGAAGAACAAAUGUGUAAGUAACUAUGCACGUCUUGACGGUACCUAAUCAGAAAGCCACGGCUAACUACGUGCCAGCCGCCGCAGUAA